rnacentral:lncRNA from 1 species
GAUGUGCGAGGUGGGAGAUCUCGAGAAGGUUCUCCUCGAGCUCGACGCGUCGUUCAUGCUCGACGCCGCGCUCGGGCGAAGCGUCGUGGUCGUGGAUUACGGAUCGAGGGAUCGACAGCGCGGCGCGCCGAGGGCGCUGUGGUACGGCCUCGAGUUCGUGCGGUACGCGCUGAACCGCGCGUGGUUCGGAUACAAAGGCGGGGAGGAGGAGGAUGGGGGGGGAGGGGGGGAGAGCGGCGGCGGCGGUACAGCUGGCGCCCACUACGUCCCGGUGUGCCGAGGGAAGAACGUGACGAACGACUUUCGACGGAAAUACUCGGCGCUGUCAAAGUCGUGCAAGA